rnacentral:lncRNA from 1 species
UUGUUUUCUUAAUGUACGUUACAAUCGUAGGACAAAUAAAACAAUAAUUAAUAUUUAGCAAUGUUGCUGUGUGACUAAUUAUGGCAACCAAGUGGAAAACAUCAUACUCGUUUAGGUUUUAGUCUGAUUAAACAAUAUGUUUACAAGAAUAUAAAAGUUGGGUAUAAAAUUUAUUUAUUUUUGACUUCGCCCCGGGGCCCAACAUUUGCUUGGACCGGCCCUGGUGCACUAGUGUACGGGCAUGACCAUCAUGUAUUGUCUUCCAUGGCCUCUCAUUUUUUUUGCGGGAAAGAAACUAUCAUUUAGGAUCUUGAUAACGUCCAAACGUUUAAUAUUUCAUUUUGACAAAUCAAAUAUUUUCAAUGAUAAUUUUAAUGACGUAAGAAUGACAAAUUUUAAAAACACUUGAUUUAUCAUGACCAAAUCCCAAACAUUUGGAAUUUAUCAAAUAUCUGGGUAGGGGAGACCCCUUUUAAAAAAACAAAUAAUAAUAAAAAAUAAGAGUUAUAAUAAGAUGUAUGGCCAGUAUAGUUGCAUCUAAGUAAGUCUUCGGCAUAUACACACUAGAAGGCUGCAAUAUUCAUAAAGAUAAAGUCUAAGACACAAUCAUGACGUGCAUGAAAGGUUAAAAAAAAAGAUAAGACCACCUCCAUUUGCUACAAGACACGGAGUCUGCAAUUCUAUCGAGCCUGCACUUAGUAUGCUAGAAAGAAGGAGCAUAAAUGGCUAUAGAGCCUAUAAAAACUUAAGAGGACCUAAAGACUAGAUGCAUGAUGGACAACAAGAAAGAAGAAGGAAAUAAUGAAGGAAGAUUCCGGUUCCAUACGCCUCGUCCCUUGUACAAUAUACUGGUUCACCAGUGUCUAGCAUGUACGGGCGUGACUAUCAUAUAUUGUCUUCCAUACCUUCUCAUGUUUUCUUGUGUAGGAAAGAAACUUUCAUUUACAUCCUCGAACAUUCAACUUUGACUAUGGAAAAUCAAAUGUUUUU